UCCCUGGUGGCUUAGACGGUAAAGUGUCUGCUUGCAAUGCAAGAAACCCAGGUUCGAUCCCUGGGUUGGGAA
rfam:Ovis aries breed Texel chromosome 2, whole genome shotgun sequence.